UGUUCAACUUCAGGCUAAUGCAUAAUAAUGCCUUAUUUUAAUGGCUUUACUCUCAACACAUGAGGGCACCACCUGGCAUUCUCAAAGGCGGUAGAGGUGACCUCCAGUUUGCAAUGCUACAGUCACUUUCGCUACUCUGUACUAUCAAGAAUUGGUUCAAAGAUUCUUCUGUGGGUCACCUAAUGGAAUUGGCCAGAGCUGGAGCGGCAUAUGGUUUAUCACAAACAUCUGAGCAGAACCUGGGAGUCUACUGCCUUAUCAAAGCUUCAGUCUAAAGUUUAAACCCUACAUCUGAGCAUCAAAUAAAGCCAGGAAACGACCUACUC